rfam:Ovis aries breed Texel chromosome 12, whole genome shotgun sequence.
UCCCUGGUGGUCUAGUGACUAAGACUUCAUGCUUUCAGUGCAGCGGGCCUGGGUUCAAUCCCUGGUCAGGGAA